UAAUGAUUCUCAAAAGUCUAACAAUACAGUGUCUACUAAUAUGAUGUCUAACAAUACGGAGUAUAACCUCAAAAACGAGGUUUUUCGAACUAUUUAUAGAAAAUAAAAACCUAACUAAACAAGGACUCUAUUUGCUGGAAAUCUGCCAAAACGCGGCUGGGUCGACAGAACUCACGACGGAUCGUCAUGGUCACGAUGGACCGUCAUGGACUCUGUCGUCCCAUACUUAUGCAAUUUCUUUUGCUUCUCUCUUCAUUACCCUCGACGGCAGGUAUGACGGACCGUCAUAGGCACAACGGUCUAUCGAGGGUCUUCGUUUCAACACACUUGAACUCUUGGAAUAUGGGUACUGGGACUACUUCUCUGAACUUCAUGACGAACCUGCAGGACGGACCGUCAUGAACUCCGUAGCCCCGCACUUGGUCAGACUUCCCCAUCUUCUUUCAGCAGCUGCACUACGCUGCCACCUACAGACCGUCACAAGCACGACGGACCGUCAUAAGCUCUGUAGGUCGUCUAUUCUGCAUUUCUUCACUCAAAAUCUCCGCAUUCAUCUUUGGACAGAUUUCCUUAAAAAGUAAAUCGCUUACUACUGAAUGGAGAUGCUUGGCGUCGAAAACAUUGAGAACAUGACCACCAGUAUAUCUUUUUCGUGAGAUAAACCUUGCACCAUACGUCCAUACCAGAUAGCCAAAGCAUAGGUAGAGUACAUAAUAGCAAAAGGAAAUAAGCUUAGUCUUUUGAAAUGUUUAAAAGAAUUUUUGUUGAACUUACAAAGUAAAGAUGGAUAGUACGGAACAACCCACGAGUUAUUAAGAAACUGUCCUCUAAUUUUCACACUUCUUCCUGUAUUUCAUCUUUAUAAAUUGGGUACGAAUUUUCUCCUUUAGUUGUUUGUUCUACAAACUCUUUAGGAUACUUAUGUUUACAAUAUCUUUUUUUAUCAAACAAGAAUUUGUUGGAUUCAAAUUACCACAAGAACCAUGCAUCACGUGUUGCGUAACAAGUGAAUAUAAAUAGGGAAGUCAUUUCCAUGACUACCUGCUACGAUAUAAGAAUGAAAAAUUCGUUUAGCAUCUUGUCACUUAAUGGUAGUGAAUGAAAGUCUUAAAGAGAUAAUGAUAGAGCAACUUUCAAACAAAUAAAAUUUAAACAUAGUUUAGUAGUAAUUAAAGCAAAAUAAAGAUACAACACUCUUAUGUGACUUUUAUGAUUGACACUAUAUUUAUUCCAAAAUGGAACAAGAAACAUUAAGAAUUGACUAAUGAAUCCAGGCCACCAUUGUCAG
rnacentral:misc_RNA from 1 species